CCUUGUACACACCGCCCGUCAAGCCAUGGAAGCCGGGGGUACCCAAAGCCAGUGUUCUAACUCCAAGCAAUUGGAGGAGAAGCUGUUUAAGGUAAAACCGGUGACUGGGGCU
rnacentral:rRNA from 1 species